ACGUAUCCAAGUUCGAACGAGAGAGAGAGAGGGGAAGAGCAGAGUUUUCUGCGAAACGAUGGAGUGUGCCGGGAAGGGACUGGGUACUCGGUGCACGGGCCCACCCACCAGACGAUGUGCUUGCUGUGGAGCCGUCGCUUACUGCGCCGUAUCUCACCAGAUUGCGCAUUGGCCUGAGCACAAAGAAGAGUGCGCAAGGUUAGAGCAACAUAUGAAGCAUAUGGACACCUUGAACGAGUUUCCUUUCACUUUUACUCAAGAAGCUACAGUUCAGGUGUGUGAAAAGCACGAGACGAGGUGUUCAGUCUUGGAAAAAAGAGGGGUCCAUCAAAUGGGAAUGUGGUUGUAUGAAUGUUGUUGCGGGGAUUCAGUUGUUUCGUUUGAUUGUUUAAGGUUGAAUGGUUCUUGGGAUCUCUCGAACACCUUUUGCCCUUGUACUGAACCUUCAGUUAUGAUAUCAGAGUGUUUAGCCAGUUGGAAGGAGUACUAUGAGUGGAGGUCCAUCCCGCUGCAUUCACCUGUUGCAUUGCUUCUCCAUUGGCCUCUUACAAUUUACUAUGCCACUCAAGUAGCUGGUUUGGGAAGCUGGACUUCUGGAAUCAGCAACAAAUUGUACAUACACUAUCUUGGCCCUGAGAAAGAGCUUCUUCAGCUUUCUGUCUUCUCAGAGUUGCGUGCACUUUUCCCUAACAUGAACGUGCAUAUAGAGCUUGUUGGGCCUUCGAUUCCACAGCAAAGAGAUGGUGAGAUGAUCGCGUUAUCCGAGUAUGCACAUUGCCUUGAUAGAGAUUGCAUUUGUAAAUCCUCAAGUGAGACUGUCAGCGGGGAUGUACAUGCUAGUGAACCUUCAGCAGUUACAUUGCAACUUAGAAGCGGCUUUUAUCACGACCGUUACAGGGAUAUAACUAAGGAUUCAUCACCUCACUUGGUCAUCGCUCCAAAUGCAGGAAUUGCUGCCUAUUCAAGCUGGUUACCGACUAUUGAGCUACUAAAGGAUAUGAACAUCCCAGCAGUUUUUUCCGAUUACUGCAAAGAAGCUUGUCAUCUUGGAGCUUGUUGCAUAAGCAGCAUAACUGGCCGUCCUCUCAAUAUCCCUAUUCAGUUAAAUCCGUUUAGGCAGCCGAUGGUGGUGGAAGACAGUGUUCUUGUUCUUCCUUGCUACUCGAAUUGCUUCCUGUACGGGAUGUCAAAUUGGUCGGUCUAAAAUCAUACGUUGUUUUGAAGAUCGCCGGCUUCUUUGAAUGAGUCUGCCGCGUCUCUUGACGAAAAGGAGGGCAAGUUAUCAAGGCGACUGCUUUAGUCACCUUACGGACCUCACUAGGGAACAAAUCAGCAUAUUAACAAGAAGUUUUGAGGGGGACGGAGAGUGCAAUGUGAAGCAUACGGUGUCGUUUCUACUAAUCAUCCAACGGACAUAACAGAACGUGGCCGGCGGUCCGAUCUACCUAAAACAAAGUCAAAAGUCGGUCACUGAAAAUUCCAAAAUUCCAAAAUUCCAAAAAUUUCCAACAACAAGGAACAUGGAUAAUCACCACCUCUGACCAACAUCUUCUCUUCACGUCCCCAAAUUCUAGGGUUAGGGUUAGGGUUAAGAUUUUCCCGCCCGGAAAAUCUCAUCUUUCCAACCAUCAAUCAAUGUCUCUCUUCUCCCGCA